GAUGAACGCUGGCGGCGUGCCUAAUACAUGCAAGUCGAGCGAACGGACGAGAAGCUUGCUUUUCUGAUGUUAGCGGCGGACGGGUGAGUAACACGUGGAUAACCUACCUAUAAGACUGGGAUAACUUCGGGAAACCGGAGCUAAUACCGGAUAAUAUUUUGAACCGCAUGGUUCAAAAGUGAAAGACGGUCUUGCUGUCACUUAUAGAUGGAUCCGCGCUGCAUUAGCUAGUUGGUAAGGUAACGGCUUACCAAGGCAACGAUGCAUAGCCGACCUGAGAGGGUGAUCGGCCACACUGGAACUGGGACACGGUCCAGACUCCUACGGGAGGCAGCAGUAGGGAAUCUUCCGCAAUGGGCGGAAGCCUGACGGAGCAACGCCGCGUGAGUGAUGAAGGUCUUCGGAUCGUAAAACUCUGUUAUUAGGGAAGAACAUAUGUGUAAGUAACUGUGCACAUCUUGACGGUACCUAAUCAGAAAGCCACGGCUAACUACGUG
rnacentral:rRNA from 1 species